UGGCGGACGGGUGAGUAACGCGUAAGAACCUGCCCUUGGGAGGGGACAACAGCUGGAAACGGUUGCUAAUACCCCAUAGGCUGAGGAGCGAAAGGAGGAAUCCGCCUAAGGAGGGGCUUGCGUCUGAUUAGCUAGUUGGUGAGGCAAUGGCUUACCAAGGCGACGAUCAGUAGCUGGUCUGAGAGGAUGAUCAGCCACACUGGGACUGAGACACGGCCCAG
rnacentral:rRNA from 1 species